GGUCACCGCGCCGACUAGUCCCUAGUAUUCGAAUAAUUCAUUCAUACAUAGACUGUGGCUGUUUGUUACCACUUUGGCUUACCGGAGCGGCAGUUCCUCCAGACUUCUUGUGGUGGCGCUUCCCAGAGGCAGAUGGUCAGAUUAUCGGAAAAUGUAAUUCACAACGAAGAAGAAAUACGAGCGAACAACAAAUCAGAGAUGCACCGGCGUCUCAUGUUUAUGGAUGUGAGAAGAAAAAACUGCCCCGGAACAGCUAUCAAGUGUCAUUUAAUGACAUGGUCUAUAUGUAGCCCGAUUUAGCUCUAAACUGGACGGGCUACGUGUAGUCUGCUUUUAGUUCACCUGGCGAAAUCGAGGCAAUCUGUGGUCUAAUUUUAACGGCUUGGCUAUAGCCAUAUACCAGUAACAAAACCAGCAAUGAGCAUAGCCAAAAUAGCCUUAAAUUUUUUUACAUGUAAUUCUCGCACAUGCAGAUUCUUAUCAGAUGCAAGUAAACCGUUGAAACAUUUAAAUUAGCAUUAUUUUAUAUUUUAUUUAGUUAUUUUACAGCAUUAUUAAAUAUAGCAUUAUUUAUUAUGCCAAAAUAAUGCUAAUUCAAAUGUUUUAAAAGUUUACUUGCAUUUGAUAAUAUGAUGUCAUGCAUCCCACACUGUUACAUGUUACAUUCAUACAAAUUAUAUGAUAUUGUUGAUGUUGGACUGUCUAUAAUUUUAAAAAUAACUGCUAGAUGGCAAUUGAAGCCCUUCUGAGACAUGAGUACUGGCAACGCGAGACAUGAGAGUUAGUAGAGAUCACUGUUUUGAAUUUUGUUUUUACAGGAGACAGCACUAAGUUUACCUCUUGGAGAGCAGCGGGCAAACAACAAACGAUAAAGGACAUUCCUACUUGGUCUUUGAACACACACAGAAGAAUUGGAGAAACUGAGGAGGAGUUUCAACAUCUGGAGAAGCAGUUGGAAAUUGAGAAGAUCCGGGCAGCAAAGGUCACAGUAUCCACCCAGAUACAGUCCGUAUCCAGACCAGAUGCUGGAUCAGCACUUAGAGACGACCUCUACAACCAUGAAUGUCAUUGUAGACCAUGUCAACUAGAUGAGCCCUCGAGAAGACCUUGUCACCUAGACGGCCAUCAGCACAAGACCACAGGAACCAGACGAGUCCUCUGCACAAUCUGACUUUUGUUGCAGCCUGGAAUCAAACCACACCAUUUUCCAGAGGAGACACAAUCUGAAUUGUAUAAAGCACUAUAUAAAUAAGGUGACUCAUGCACUGAUUAAUUUGCAGUGGUUUCCUAAAGGAUUAUAAGUCAGAAAACAAAAAGUAGGAACUGGAAGAGGUGGAUAUUUACCUAGGAAGAAAAACUUGAAAAUGACUGUUUUUUAGUGAAGAAAACAGUUUAUUGCACAUGCAACUUGUGAGCGACUGCAGGUCAAGAACUUUUAGAUCUAUGUAUCCAUACCAAUAUGAAAAUAUGGAGUCCCUUUUUUGAUGGGAGGCCUGGGUACUGAUGGAAGGCUAGAAACGCUCCUGUAUGUGAGUAUAUACGUAGAAACUUGUGCAUGUGGAUGAGAGAAAGAGAAAGCAAAAAAAAGAAAAAGGCUGGGUGCCUUUAAGAGAUGAAGACUCCUGGCUCAUCGCCCAUUCUCCAAUCUGCUGAUGAUGAGGCCUGUGAUGAGGAAAGAACGGGGAUCCAUUUUUAGCGAUGAGUUCAUCCUUUAUGGCAGGGAAAAAAAGAAAAAUAGUGCAGCCAUAAAAAGUGCAGUCCAUGUGCUCCUGAUAUUCUGUCUGCCGGCACCUGACAGCAAGUCGCAUCUGCACUUAUCUGAAUUCAGCCAUCAAUGAAGAGUGAACACAUACUGCUUAAAAUAAAAA